CUUUGGUAUUUGAGUACUAUUUUUUUCCACCCUGUUUUGCAUUUAUGUAUUUACUUGUGUGUGUACACACACACAUAUAAUACAAGUAUAUGUGUAGGGACGGUGUUUCUUUUUCCUUGUCUUGUCAUCAAAAGAUAGUUAUAAAUAAGUGUCAUUGUCAUACAAGCUGUGUUGUUUGUUUGCAAUCUUUCAAGAAAACCUGUUCAGCUAUGGAGAGAUAUCACCUUGCUUGGAAACAGGUGGACGUUGAUAACAAGGUCAUCCGGCCACAGAAAACGUGCCUCAACGCAUUCCCUCUGAUCCAUUGGAGUUGAAACGAAAAAUGAGAUAAGUGUUGACAAAUAAAAGACUCAUGCUGCUACUUGCUUCAAGUCAAACAUUCAUUAAAACUGGAACUUCUUAAAAGAUUAUGUAUCACAGUAACCUCAUGAUGAUGAACACAGUAACAAAACAGACAACAAUGAAGAAAAGAAAAAAAAAUAUACAAAAAUACAGACUAGCCACAUUGCCAUCAAUAUACAUGAGGGGGUGCUGAAAAGUUCCUGGCUUUAAGGGUAUCACAAAAGGCCUGGUUGGAGACCCAACCUUCUGAGUUCUUGUACAGGGUUCAGAAAAACUGAAGAGCAGCUGCAAUAAGUACGUAAAUCUAAGAAGGGAAUAUGUUGAAUAAAAUCAUAAUUAACUGA